UCAAUUUAUGUCCACGGAAUGGUACAUAAAACCGAUUGCUUCCGGUCGGUUCCUAAAUUACCAUUCCUUACAUCCACUUCACCAAAAAAAAAAUGAAUGUGGCACUUAACUUUGCAAAGAGAGUGUUCACAUUCUCCACAAACUGCACCGAAAAAGAGAUUAGAGACAGAAUCAAACGGCAACUCCUGAUCAAUGAUUACCCAACAACAUUGAUCAGUCGAGUAAUAAACAGAGCCAAACAACGAACACCACUUGGUACAGCUAUGGCAGCGAACGAAAACACAGUAGAGGAGGAAAACCUGUUUCGUUCGCUCACCAAUAUUGACGGCCUCACCAGUCGAAUAACAAAAACACUGAAACGGGAAUACCCAAAUGUUCAAGUCGCCACCAAAACUACCAAAACGGUUGGCGCAGUACUACCACUGGUCAAAGAUAGAACGGCAAAAGAUCAACAAUCCAAUGUUAUCUACAAAAUCCAGUGCGGCGACUGUGAAGCCUGCUACAUCGGUAUGACGACCACGAAACUAAAACAACGCAUCUCUGGACACCGAUCAAAUGUUAAACGACUACAGACUCUACGAGAAGCAGGAUAUACGAACGCAGACGCAGCGGUUGCUGAAAUUCGGGAGAAAACGGCACUAGUAAAUCAUGCAGCAGAAACGGGACAUACUUUCAGACUAGACGAUGUAAACAUUAUAGACAGAACGAGCAGAUCAUCUAGCUUACCAAUACUAGAAAGCUGCCACAUCAGAAACACAGAAAACACAAUAAACAAACGAACAGACACAGAAAAUUUAAGUAUUGUAUAUGCAGCACUUCUACACACAAUCAAAAACACACGAAAAUCAGAACGACAAAAUCAAAACAGAACGAAUGUAAACACCACACUAGUCAAUACCACUCACACACAAUGAUUAUAUUCCAAGCAAAAACACAGAUAGAAACAACUGAAUGCCAACCGUCAUUUUAAAACUACAUCAGUGCGUAGAACAGUGGAACGGAUUCCGAUUUUUAUUCUAAAACUUGUUUUCCGGAAAGUUAAAACCGAAAACCAACACUAAAUGACGAUUAGACGUUCAAACAAACACCUUAACGAUAAAACAACACAAUUUUCGGUAACAAUCUAUGUCAUUACAAACAAAUUGUCAUACUAAACUAAUAAAACAUUACAGAAUCCUUGAAAAAGGUCCAAUAAGGACCGAAACGUCGGGUUAAGAAAACA